AUGUACUACAACGAUAGAGAGUAUUACUCUCCGUGCGUCCUCCACACGUUCUUGUACAACGAGGGGAGGUGGAUCGAGCCUACAAAUUUAGGUUGUGAGGCUAAGAAUUUCUCCAAUUGCGGGCCGCUCAAGCAUUCCGACGCAGUCGUGUGCCAAGGGACCGCGCACUGGCUUGUUGGGUACCAUCCAAGCCACCACAAUUACUUGCAUACUAUUGAUGUAGAUGUUGAGAAUUCCAAUGUCUCCAUGACGAAGAUUGUGACCCCGACUGAAGACAUUUUAUCUGGAACAUAUUAUGAACCGCAACUUAGUGUUGCUACCGAUGAGACACUAUCAUUGCUUUGCCUGCAAAGGCCAGGCCUCCAGGUAAAAAUAUGUAUGCAACAAGGCAAUGGAGGGAGUGAGAAUGGUGGUACAUGGCUAUACACCCGAGACGUCGAGCUAAAACCACCCAAGCAGAUUCGAGCAGAAGAGAUGCACUCGACCCUCUUGGGAGAGAAGAGUGGCACAUUGUUCGUCAAGGACAACUGCAUGAACGUGUACGCUGUCGAUCUCAAGACAGGGGUGAUGAAGAGUCUCACGUACCAAGGCAAGGUUACCCACGGGAAGGUCGUGCCCUUUGAGAUAUACUCGCCGAUGUUCUAA
rnacentral:rRNA from 1 species